UAUAGUUCAAUGGUAGAACAGCUGUAUGUGGAAUAGUAUAUCCUAGUUCGAUUCUAGGUA
rnacentral:tRNA from 1 species